GCAAGUCGAACGCGAAAUCACCUUCGGGUGAAAGUAGAGUGGCGGACGGGUGAGUAACGCGUGGGAAUCUACCUAGUAGUGGGGGACAACUCGGGGAAACUCGAGCUAAUACCGCAUACGCCCUACGGGGGAAAGGCUUCGGCCGCUAUUGGAUGAGCCCGCGUCAGAUUAGCUUGUUGGUAGGGUAAUGGCCUACCAAGGCGACGAUGGUUAGCGGGUCUGAGAGGAUGAUC
rnacentral:rRNA from 1 species